UACAGAGGGGGCAAGCGUUGUUCGGAAUUACUGGGCGUAAAGGGCGCGUAGGCGGCCUCUUAAGUCGAACGUGAAAUCCCCGGGCUCAACCCGGGAACUGCGUCCGAUACUGGGGGGCUUGAAUCCGGGAGAGGGAUGUGGAAUUCCAGGUGUAGCGGUGAAAUGCGUAGAUAUCUGGAGGAAUACCGGUGGCGAAGGCGGCAUCCUGGACCGGCAUUGACGCUGAUGAGCGAAAGCUAGGGGAGCAACGGGG
rnacentral:rRNA from 1 species